GACCUGGUGGUGUAGUGGUAAUAUAUGCUCUAGACAUGUUCCAUGAAUGAAGAUGUAUGAGAAAGUCCCUUGUUCAACUCAAGGUUAGGCCG